rnacentral:rRNA from 1 species
ACGUAGGUGGCAAGCGUUGUCCGGAUUUACUGGGUGUAAAGGGCGUGUAGGCGGGAUUGCAAGUCAGAUGUGAAAUGCCGGGGCUUAACCCCGGAGCUGCAUUUGAAACUGUAGUUCUUGAGUGAUGGAGAGGCAGGCGGAAUUCCUAGUGUAGCGGUGAAAUGCGUAGAUAUUAGGAGGAACACCAGUGGCGAAGGCGGCCUGCUGGACAUUAACUGACGCUGAGGCGCGAAAGCGUGGGGAGCAAACAG